CAAAACGUAAAUUUUGAAGGACAUUUUGCACACACUACAGGAAAUUUGCCUUCUCACGAGGAGCAAAUUCACCGCAAUUGUCCUGUUUUCCCGCAACAAAUUUUCAGAAACUGCGAUUUGAGUUCAUCGCUAAUUGGUCGAAAGUAAAACGUCUGCUCAGAGGGGUUUCGGUGAGAAACCAUUGGUGGCCGCAACUACUGCAGCUAACUCGGCCGACAAAUCUCGCAGCAAAAUUGGUUGAGCAAAUUGGUGUGAGGGGCAAUUACGGUGAGGAGACGUCGCAAAUUUGGGUCAUUGACGGCGAUUUUGCAACCCCGUAAAAUCUAAAUAUUCGGCGAUUUUAGAGUUGGCAGCAAGAAACUUUGUUUCCAUUUGCGGUGAAUUCAUAGACACCGCAAUUUCAAACUCUUCGUACGACGAUUUUGGGGCUGGCGGUAAGAAAGAGAGUUCUCAUUUGCGGUGUCUUCGUAUACGCCGUAAGUUCAGACUCUUCAUACAGUGAAUUGCUAGACGCCGUAAUUUUUGAGAUUCUACAUGCGGUGAGGUUUACGGCGCAGGAAAUGCUAAAACCACUCCUUUCUAAAAUUUACAAUUGCUGGGUUGGAUAUGCGGUGAAUAAAUGAAGAAACUCAAUCGCAGAAUUAGAUCUAUGGGUUUUCCAAACACUGGAUAGUACCAAUAGUUGAGCAAAUUUAUGGGUUUUUGGAAUGCUCUGCAUGCGCAAUAUUCCCUCUGUUUUUGCUGCCACUACAAGAUCUAUAGUUGAGCAAAUUAUUAUUUUUGGAAUGCUUCGCAGCAAUGUUAACGUUAUUUGACAGCUCACGUUUUGAACCCAGGCUGUGGAGUAUGGGCGUUGCUUUGAUUUUUUACCAUAUAGCUAUCACACUCCAUCAUCAAGAAGAAUAUAACAGAAAAGUUAGUGAAACAACUGCAUCCGAUCCCAGAGUUGCUGCUCGAGAUAACAUCCCUUCUGCUGUGCUUUGAUUUAGAAUUUUUAACAUGGAUAACUUUUUAAUAGCAUCAUAAGCUUACAAAAAAAGAAAGCUAUAUUGGAUUCAAAUGAUCUAAUUUACCAGCCGUGAUUAUCAUCAAAUUAAUUGGCUGGGCCUAAGCAUGAUUAAUUAAUUAAUUUGGGCUGGAGAUCUAAGAAGCACAUAGGCAUCAUGAUGAGCGGGACUGCGCCGUCGGAAUAAGGAACCAUAACCUUUAGCAAUGAAGCCAAAAGUACUACGAGUACUACUGCAAAUAAUAUUAUUAUUAUCAUCAUCGCCGGAGUUGCCUUCCAUCUCAGCAAGUACUUUGUAGAAUAAAUCAACGGCACAAGGAAGCAAGAUGGGGCCUUCGCUAUUGUACCCGUACUCCGAUUCAGCGUCCUCCAGCAGCAUAGCGAACAGAGGAUGAUUAGCAGACUUGGUCUUCACCACGAAUCUUUGUCUUUGAGGUCCCACGUAAACUGAGAAACAACCAGCUUCCGGAGCUACCUCAUGCGGCCUCUUUUUUCUGCACUUGCUUUUCAUGUAGUCAAUGUUGUACUCUUCUGAAUCCAAUGAUGUUGUAUUGCAGCAGCGCUGUCGUGAUCGGCAUCGCUCCCAUGUCUUGUAAAUCAUACUUUUCAUCCACAUAAUUGUAAUAUUUGGACGUACAAUGACGUACGAGAAUAUAGUAGAAGAUCGGUUUGUUUUGUAGAUA